rnacentral:rRNA from 1 species
GACAGAGGGGGCGAGCGUUGUUCGGAAUUACUGGGCGUAAAGGGCGCGUAGGCGGCCUUCUAAGUCGAACGUGAAAUCCCCGGGCUCAACCCGGGAACUGCGUCCGAUACUGGGAGGCUUGAAUCCGGGAGAGGGAUGUGGAAUUCCAGGUGUAGCGGUGAAAUGCGUAGAUAUCUGGAGGAACACCGGUGGCGAAGGCGGCAUCCUGGACCGGUAUUGACGCUGAGGCGCGAAAGCCAGGGGAGCAAACGGG